AGAAACAUUCGGCAAAACCGUCGUGAGGCGGCGACGCAAAGCCUUGAGACUUCAAUACGAUGAAGCCAGUCCGGUUGCAAUU
rnacentral:ncRNA from 1 species